AGGAAGGAACUUCAGAUGAGACCUGC
rnacentral:piRNA from 1 species